rnacentral:lncRNA from 1 species
CCACACCACACUGGACACACAACACAUGGCAAGGGAGAUAUAGGCCGAAAAAGGGGUUUAGCAAAAAAGUCAUGCUCAGCCAUUUCCUUUUGUUAAAAGUUGUGGUCCAAGCCAAUAAUUUUGUGAGAAAUAGUAAUAAUGGCAGCCUGGCAGCCACCACUAAUAAUGGCAGCCUGGCAGCCACCACCAACUCAGUCCUUAACAGCCAAAUGUAAAAGGGUUUUUGUUUUGUUUUCUUUUCUUUUUGGUUGGAGUAAUUUGUUGUUUUAUUUGAUUAAUUAAAGUUGCGAUGUCAAUUGAAUGGGGUCGUAAGCCCUUU